rnacentral:sRNA from 1 species
GGGACGGGCCUUUCAGGCAUCCUCUCCUUAAAACUUUCCGGGCUGGCCUUCGGGUCAGCCUUUUUUUUGUUCUUCG